GACGAACGCUGGCGGCGUGCUUAACACAUGCAAGUCGAACGAAGUGGCGAACGGGUGAGUAAUACGUGGGUAACCUACCCUCCUUUUUGGGAUAAGCCUUGGAAACGGGGUCUAAUACCGAAUAAAGGGGGAUGGGCUCGCGGCCUAUCAGCUUGGUGGGGGGGUGAUGUCCUACCAAGGCGGUGACGGGUAGCCGGCCUGAGAGGGUGACGGGCACCAUUGUGGCUGUGAGAAGCCACAGACUCCGACGGGAGGAAGCAGUGGGGGAUAUUGGACAAUGGGCGAACGCCUGAUGCAGCGACGACGCGUGGGGGAUGAAGGUUUGCGGGUUGUAAACCUCUUUAGCUAUCGAACGGGUAGGUGCAGAAGAAGCGCCGGCUAACUACGUGCCAGCAGCCGCGGUAAUAC
rnacentral:rRNA from 1 species